CAAGCAUGGGGCCAAGUUGAGAAGGGGCAGCAGGCCUGGGACCCGACAAAGGCCUGUCACUGCUACGUAGAGAAGAGAUUAUCCAGGCACAGUCAAGAGGUCAGACUAUCAACACCAGUCUACUCUUGGAAUCCUUCCCAACUUGAAGACGAACUAUAGAUCAAUGAAGGAUUACUGAGUCUCUGUGUAACAGAAGCUCUACACCUCACACCUGAAUGCAUCCAGUCCCGAGAAGCCAGGCUCCCCAUUGGUGGGAAAAGAUCAGAGGCAGUAUUCCAAGCCAAACUGUAUCCAGCUUUAUUAAAGAUACUUUUCAUAAACAAUCAUGGUAUUUCAGGCAGGACAUGGGCACACAAUCGUUAACAGUAUACAACAACUUUCAAACUCCCUUCUUGGAUGGACUACCAAAAAUCAGAAAGCCACUAUAAAA